UCCUUCCCCCACCCUCACAACUUUUCUCCCACCAUUAUCACACUCCAUAGAAGCCCUUGAAGCCCCAAGAGAAGUAUCAAAGCAAGGGAGAGCGUGGAAAAACUAGGGCGUAAAGUUAGAGUGAAGGUUGUGCUUCGAGGGAAUUGGUCCGCAGGACGGUGCCACAGCUUAAGAUCACCUCUCUCUUUCACACCGAAGAUCAGGUUAAUGGAGUCGGGCGCAGCGGGGGCUAGGUGGUGGUGGUGGUCUGGAGCUGUCGACAAGGUUUCUCAAUGAUAUUUAUUUCCCAUAACCUCGAUCACCAAACAUUUUAUUUUGUUGGUUAUGCCCUGCGUGGCGAUUAUGAGCUUGUUUACUGCUUUCCCUAAACAACUGAACAAUUGAGUUACUCUUGGG